rnacentral:rRNA from 1 species
CAAUAAGGAUUGACAGAUUGAGAGCUCUUUCUUGAUUUUGUGGGUGGUGGUGCAUGGCCGUUCUUAGUUGGUGGGGUGACUUGUCUGCUUAAUUGCGAUAACGAACGAGACCUUAACCUGCUAAAUAGCCCGGCAUUGCUCCGGCAGUGCGCUGGCUUCUUAGAGGGACUUUCGGCUCAAGCCGAAGGAAGUUUGAGGCAAUAACAGGUCUGUGAUGCCCUUAGAUGUUCUGGGCCGCACGCGCGCUACACUGACGGGGUCAGCGAGUUCCUUGGCCGAAAGGCCCGGGUAAUCUNGUUAGCCCCCGUCGUGCUGGGGAUAGAACAUNGCANUNAUUGCUCUUCAACGAGGAAUCCCUAGUAAGCGCAAGUCAUCAUGCUUGCGUUGAUUACGUCCCUGCCCUUUGUACACACCGCCCGUCGCUACUACCGAUUGAAUGGCUCAGUGAGGCGUCCGGACUGGCCCAGGGAGGUGGGCAACUACCACCCAGGGCCGGAAAGUUCUCCAAACUCGGUCAUUUAGAGGAAGUAAAGUCGUAACAAGGUCUCCGUUGGUGAACCAGCGGAGGGAUCAUUA